AAGUCGUAACAAGGUUUCCGUAGGUGAACCUGCGGAAGGAUCAUUAUCGAGUUUUGAACGGGUUGUAGCUGGCCUCAUACGGGGCAUGUGCACGCCUGGCUCAUCCACUCUUCAACCUCUGUGCACUUAUUGUAGAUCGGUGACAAGGUCGAGUUCUUUCACGAGUUCUUGACUGGAAAAACCUUUCUACGUUUUUACCACAAACGCUUCAGUUAUAGAAUGUUUAUCUGCGUAUAACGCAUCUUUAUACAACUUUCAGCAACGGAUCUCUUGGUUCUG
rnacentral:misc_RNA from 1 species